rnacentral:rRNA from 1 species
UACAGGGGGGCAAGCGUUGUUCGGAAUUACUGGGCGUAAAGGGUUCGUAGGUGGCCAACUAAGUCAGACGUGAAAUCCCUCAGCUUAACUGGGGAACUGCGUCUGAUACUGGAUGGCUUGAGUGUAGGAGAGGAAUGCGGAAUUCCAGGUGUAGCGGUGAAAUGCGUAGAUAGUCUGGAGGAACACCGGUGGCGAAGGCGGCAUUCUGGACUACAACUGACACUGAGGAACGAAAGCCAAGGGGAGCAAACAGG